rnacentral:rRNA from 1 species
GCGUGAGUGAGGAAGGCCUUAGGGUUGUAAAGCUCUUUCACCCGCGACGAUGAUGACGGUAGCGGGAGAAGAAGCCCCGGCUAACUUCGUGCCAGCAGCCGCGGUAAUACGAAGGGGGCGAGCGUUGUUCGGAUUUACUGGGCGUAAAGGGCGCGCAGGCGGCGGACCAAGUCAGGCGUGAAAGCCCCGGGCUCAACCUGGGAGGUGCGUCUGGGACUGGUUUGCUAGAGUUCGGGAGAGGAGAGUGGAAUUCCCAGUGUAGAGGUGAAAUUCGU